UUUUGAUUAAUUAGAUUUUUGUUGCCAAGGAAUUAACUUGGUCCUCCCCGCGCCCCCGCCCCUCCCUUCUUGCUCCAAGAGCACACAAGAAAAUGAUUUUAGCAGCGGGAAUAAUUACAGAAAGUGUGGUGUUAACUCGAACGGAAUGCAAAUAUUUUCGCUUUUGUAUUGUUCUCCGGGACCGCCAGAGAGGAAAGAAGAAGGUGAAGUUAGCCUCAGUCCGCAGGAGGAGAGGGCAGCCCUGGAGCUGGGGACCUCACGUCCCUCGCUUCUGUGCGUGCCCCUCUGAGGACCUGAAAGAGGAGCAGUCUCGGGAUUGAGCCCGGAUUAUAGCGGGAGGGCCGGGGCCCGCCGGAACCAUUGGGCAGCGUCACGCAGAAGAGAAAGGCCCAGCAAAGGCACAGGGGAGCCUGUUGCAUCGCAGCGUUUUCAGAGCACCUCCAGGACUGGCCGCACCUGAUGGACGCAGGCGACCGGAGGAAGGUCCAGAGCCCGGAGUGUCCAGGCAAAGCCUGCCGGAGGGGAUGCUGGAGAAAAUGGUCAUGUGGAACCUUCCAGCUGGUCCGACUGGUCAUUGUGUCUGCUCCGAGAAAGUGUGAAAGCGUCACUUCCUGCUAUUUACUGAGUGCCCUGCCGUGUGCCAGGCAUGGUUCCAGGCCCUGGUGAUACAGGAUGCUCCAGUAGACAAAGCAAAGGCCUGCCUUCCUUAAGUUUGCAUUCUGUGUGGGAACACAGCACAUAAAUACGAUACAGUUCUUCAGGUGGUGAUAGGAGCCAGGAAGAGAAUAAAGCAGGUGGGGGAUGGGACCGCAUCUUCCCUUCCUCCCGCCCCUCCCAUGGCGGGCAGCGCUGCCUCAAGGAACACUUCUCCACGGCGAGGGGCUGAUUGCUCUCGGUGAUUUGGGGAUGAAGAAGGGGGAAAAUGAGGCCCUGCUCUUCCUCCCUUCCCUUCUGCUGGGCAGAGCCUGCUCACAGCAAGCACCAGCCCGCUCCACGCCUCCAGCCUUAUCUCUGUGGUGCUCCCACUGCCUGGUCCAGCA
rnacentral:lncRNA from 1 species